rnacentral:rRNA from 1 species
AUGAUCAUCGAUGUUGCAUCUCACGGACUUCUAGAACAUCCCAUCAUCCCUAACUCUCCUUGUCCCGUGCUGCAGUAUGUCGACGACACCCUAAUUAUCAUUAAGGCUAAUGAGAACCACCUGGCAAACCUUAAGUCUAUUCUUCAAGACUUCUCUCUAGCCACUGGUCUCCACAUCAACUACGACAAAAGUACUUUUGCACCGAUCCAUGUCGAACCUCAGACAGCCGCCCAUAUGGCCAACAUGUUGGGAUUCUCGGUGACCUCUUUCCCUCAAAAUUACCCCAGCCUUCCCUUGUCUACACACAAACUUCGUCUCCUGGACUUUCAGCCUCUCAUCGCUAAGGUCGACAAGAAGUUGGCCGGCUGGCGUGGCCACCUUCUUUCUGUGGCAGGUCGGGCGGUCCUGGUUAAAUCUAUCAUCUGGGCUCUUCCCACAUACGCUAUGAGCGCUAUGCUCCUCCAUAUUGGUACCAUCCUUGAGAUCGAUAAGCACUGUCGCGCUUUCUUCUAG